UGGGGAAUUUUGGACAAUGGGCGAAAGCCUGAUCCAGCAAUGCCGCGUGUGUGAAGAAGGCCUUCGGGUUGUAAAGCACUUUUGUCCGGAAAGAAAUCCUUGGCUCUAAUACAGUCGGGGGAUGACGGUACCGGAAGAAUAAGCACCGGCUAACUACGUGCCAGCAGCCGCGGUAAUACGUAGGGUGCAAGCGUUAAUCGGAAUUACUGGGCGUAAAGCGUGCGCAGGCGGUUUGCUAAGACCGAUGUGAAAUCCCCGGGCUCAACCUGGGAACUGCAUUGGUGACUGGCAGGCUAGAGUAUGGCAGAGGGGGGUAGAAUUCCACGUGUAGCAGUGAAAUGCGUAGAGAUGUGGAGGAAUACCGAUGGCGAAGGCAGCCCCCUGGGCCAAUACUGACGCUCAUGCACGAAAGCGUGGGGAGCAAACAGGAUUAGAUACCCUGGUAGUCCACGCCCUAAACGAUGUCAACUAGUUGUGGGGAUUCAUUCCUUAGUAACGUAGCUAACGCGUGAAGUUGACCGCCUGGGGAGUACGGUCGCAAGAUUAAAACUCAAGGAAUUGACGGGGUCAUAGCUGUUUCCU
rnacentral:rRNA from 1 species